rnacentral:rRNA from 1 species
GACGUAGGGCGCGAGCGUUGUCCGGAUUUAUUGGGCGUAAAGAGCUCGUAGGCGGCUUGUCGCGUCGACUGUGAAAUCCCGCGGCUCAACUGCGGGUCUGCAGUCGAUACGGGCAGGCUAGAGUUCGGUAGGGGAGACUGGAAUUCCUGGUGUAGCGGUGAAAUGCGCAGAUAUCAGGAGGAACACCGGUGGCGAAGGCGGCGAUCUGGCCCAACAUUGACACUGAGACCCGAAAGCGUGGGGAUCAAACAGG